CGUGUAGGCGGUCAGGUAAGUGGGACGUGAAAUGCCUCGGCUCACCCGAGGAGCGGCGUCCCAUACUGCUUGGCUUGAGUACGGGAGAGGAUGUGGGAAUUCCUGGUGUAGCGGUGAAAUGCGUAGAUAUCAGGAGGAACACCGGUGGCGAAGGCGCACAUCUGGCCCGAUACUGACGCUGAGGCGCAAAGCUAGGGAGCAAACG
rnacentral:rRNA from 1 species